rnacentral:rRNA from 1 species
CUCGGGUGGCUGCAGUGGGGAAUAUUGGACAAUGGGCGAAAGCCUGAUCCAGCCAUGCCGCGUGUGUGAAGAAGGCCUUCGGGUUGUAAAGCACUUUCAGUGGGGAAGAAAGCCUUGGGGCUAAUACCCUCGAGGAAGGACAUCACCCACAGAAGAAGCACCGGCUAACUCCGUGCCAGCAGCCGCGGUAAUACGGAGGGUGCGAGCGUUAAUCGGAAUUACUGGGCGUAAAGCGCGCGUAGGCGGUCUGAUAAGCCGGUUGUGAAAGCCCCGGGCUCAACCUGGGAACGGCAUCCGGAACUGUCAGGCUAGAGUGCAGGAGAGGAAGGUAGAAUUCCCGGUGUAGCGGUGAAAUGCGUAGAGAUCGGGAGGAAUACCAGUGGCGAAGGCGGCCUUCUGGACUGACACUGACGCUGAGGUGCGAAAGCGUGGGUAGCAAACAGGAUUAGAUACCCUGGUAGUC